rnacentral:rRNA from 1 species
GACGAACGCUGGCGGCGUGCUUAACACAUGCAAGUCGUGCGAGAAAGGGCUUCGGCCCCGGUACAGCGGCGCACGGGUGAGUAACACGUAGGUAAUCUGCCCCCAGGUGGUGGAUAACCUUCCGAAAGGAGGGCUAAUACAGCAUAAGACCACGGGUUCGAAAGGACUUGAGGUCAAAGCCGGCCUCUUUACAAAAGCUGGCGCCAGGGGAUGAGCCUGCGGCCCAUCAGGUAGUUGGUAGGGUAAUGGCCUACCAAGCCUAAGACGGGUAGCGGGUAUGAGAGGAUGAUCAGCCACACUGGAACGGAGACACGGUCCAGACACCUACGGGAGGCAGCAGUGGGGAAUCUUGCGCAAUGGGCGAAAGCCUGACGCAGCGACGCCGCGUGAGUGAUGAAGGCCCACGGGUUGUAAAGCUCUGUGGAGGGGGACGAAUAAGUGUUGGCUAAUAUCCAGCAUGAUGACGGUACCCCUUUCGCAAGCACCGGCUAACUCUGUGCCAGCAGCCGCAGUAACAC